rnacentral:rRNA from 1 species
AACGAACGCUGGCGGCAUGCCUAACACAUGCAAGUCGAACGAGACCUUCGGGUCUAGUGGCGCACGGGUGCGUAACACGUGGGAAUUUGCCUCGGGGUAUGGAAUAAACUCAGGGAAACUUGAGCUAAUACCAUAUAAUGUCUUCGGACCAAAGAUUUAUCGCCCUGAGAUAAGCCCGCGUAGGAUUAGCUAGUUGGUGGGGUAAAGGCUCACCAAGGCGACGAUCCUUAGCUGGUCUGAGAGGAUGAUCAGCCACACUGGGACUGAGACACGGCCCAGACUCCUACGGAGGCAGCAGUGGGGAAUAUUGGACAAUGGGCGAAAGACCUGAUCCAGCAAUGCCGCGUGAGUGAUGAAGGCC